CAUGACUGAAGAAGGUAAUGGUAGACACACGCCUCCUGCGUUUACCUUCAGCGACGAAGCAACCCCGAGUACAAACCGUGAUGGCACCCAGGCUUCUUCAUCCACUUUCGACGAUUACACUACGAUUUUCGACGACUGCUUCGAUGAGCUAUGCAAGGCGUUGAACAGCCUGAGCGAUGCCACUGACGUCAAUGAUGUCACUGAGAGCGGAAGCACCAGUUACCUGCCUGUGGUGUCCAGCACCAGCGGCGAUCAUACUAGGCCCAGCGGCGAUCACACUGACAAAGCAUCGUCCAUUCCGGAAGACAUCG